rnacentral:rRNA from 1 species
CAUAGCGACUAUCGUGGCAUAUCAAUAAGCGGAGGAAAAGAAACUAACAAGGAUUCCCUUAGUAACGGCGAGUGAAGCGGGAAGAGCUCAAAUUUGAAAUCUUCAAGGUUUUACCUUGACGAAUUGUAGUUUAAAGAAGUGUUUUCUGUUGAGGUUUUGGUAAAAGUUCUUUGGAAUAGGACAUCAUAGAGGGUGAGAAUCCCGUAUUUGACCAUUAUUUUCAGCUGUGUGAUACACUUUCAAAGAGUCGGAUUGUUUGGGAAUGCAGUCCAAAAUGGGUGGUAAAUUUCAUCUAAAGCUAAAUAUUGGCGAGAGACCGAUAGCGAACAAGUACCGUGAGGGAAAGAUGAAAAGAACUUUGAAAAGAGAGUUAAACAGUACGUGAAAUUGUCAAAAGGGAAGCGUUUGACACCAGUGUUGUUUUCUCGAAAAUCAAUUAAAAAAGGCCGGAUUUUGUGUUGUAUUGACCUUAAAAGCUUUCUUCACUCUUUUCUUGUCUUUUUUAAUGCACUUUUCGUUUAACAAGUCAACAUCAGUUUCUUUUGUUGUAAAAGGGUCAUUGGAAGGUGGCUUUCUUUUCGGAGAAAGUGUUUAUAGCCUUUGAUCUCUGCAACCGGAGAGACUGAGGUCUGCAGCGUAGACUCUUCGGGGUUAAAUACAUUUGUGCUAAGCUAUAGCUUUUUAUAGACAACUUGUUGACUAUAUUUAGUCUUGUGGCUUACUCGCUUAUGCUAUUUUACCUACGCUUAGGAUGUUGAUAGUCACAGCGUGUAC